rnacentral:rRNA from 1 species
UACGGAGGGGACUAGCGUUGUUCGGAAUUACUGGGCGUAAAGCGCACGUAGGCGGAUUUGUUAGUCAGGGGUGAAAUCCCGAGGCUCAACCUCGGAACUGCCUUUGAUACUGCAAAUCUCGAGUCCGGAAGAGGUGAGUGGAAUUCCUAGUGUAGAGGUGAAAUUCGUAGAUAUUCGGAGGAACACCAGUGGCGAAGGCGGCUCACUGGCUCGGUACUGACGCUGAGGUGCGAAAGCGUGGGGAGCAAACAGG